GUCACUCCCGUGCGACUGCGACGACUGCAGCUCAAUAUUAUAUUAUUUGUGCUUGAUAGAUUCGCGGCUUGUGUCUGUUUUGAGGAUUUUCUGCAUCUCUAGGACACGAUGUUUGUCCGAGUUGGUCAUUAUCAUCGUCCGUUAACACAUGUAUCGAGUCAGAUGAGUUUAGUUAACAGAGUCUUUAGUUUAGCAAUUAUUUAAAACUUCUUUGUUUGUAGGUUAUUGGCUGAAUAUAUAAAACUAACAAGGCUGUGUUGUUGUGGAUGUUUGAUGCAUGUUUAUUUUAAGGGAGUGUUUAUGAUAGUUGGGAGAGAAUGAAAAUGAAAGAAUGGAAGUUUAAAGGAAAAGAUGAAUAAAUAAAUCAUGAUUGCAUUACAGUUCAGUAAAUGUCUAAAUGCAAAUAAACCGCGAAUCACCAAAAAAUAAAAGUUCUGAAAGAUAGAUGGUGACAAACAUCAUGUUGUAACAGACUGAACGCGGAAACAAAGACGAGAAACACGUGUCAGUGAAUCACACGAUCAUUAAAGGUAGUUUUUCCUCACUAUAGUAAAUAAAUCCACAGCAGCGUAUUUGAAAAGCUCCAGAAAGUUGCAGUGGUUUCUCUACUGAAGGACGUCUGGACAGAUGGAGAGUUCACUGACUGGCCCGUAUCUCUUCCAGAACAAUCAACCAAUCAGCAACACUUCUGUUUAUGUCUACUGAAUGAAUAAAACAUGUCAGGAUUUCAGUUUACUGGAUUUAUAUUAAUGUCAUGGUACAGUCAUAUAAAUAUACUUUAUAUUCUUUAAGAAAUAAGAAAAGGUUUGUUAGAUUUACUCUGAUAAAUGAAUAUGGAAAUAUAUAAUCAAGCUGUGUGAAAUCGUGUGUUAUUGGCAGGUCUUUACUCACACUGAGAGUUUACACACACUCUUCAUAACCAGAUGAAACUAUGUGCACGUGUCUGCUGCUCUCCAAAAAUAUGCAUUAUCAAAGACUAUCAAAAGGACUAUUGUGUGAAUUAUUAAUUAUGUUUUCUUGCUGUAUGUGAAUUGAAAGAGCAAAUAAAAUGACUAAGUCUUGAUUUAUUCAGUUAAGAUUAGAAUUGUGUAUUAAACUACAUC